rnacentral:rRNA from 1 species
AUACGUAGGGGGCGAGCGUUGUCCGGAAUGAUUGGGCGUAAAGGGCGCGUAGGCGGCCCGGUAAGUCUGGAGUGAAAGUCCUGUUUUUAAGAUGGGAAUUGCUUUGGAUACUGUCGGGCUUGAGUGCAGGAGAGGUAAGUGGAAUUCCCAGUGUAGCGGUGAAAUGCGGAGAGAUUGGGAGGAACACCAGUGGCGAAGGCGACUUACUGGACUGUAACUGACGCUGAGGCGCGAAAGUGUGGGGAGCAAACAGGAUUAGAUACCCUGGUAGUCCACACUGUAAACGAUGAAUGCUAGGUGUAGGGGGUAUCGACCCCUUCUGUGCCGCAGUCAACACAAUAAGCAUUCCGCCUGGGGAGUACGGCCGCAAGGUUGAAACUCAAAUGAAUUGACGGGG